AGAGUUUGAUCCUGGCUCAGGAUUAACGCUAGCAGGAUGCCUAACACAUGCAAGUCGAACGAGAGUAGCAAUACUCUAGUGGCAAACGGGUGAGUAACGCAUGCUCAAUCUACCCAUAAGAGGGAGAUAACUGUUCGAAAGAAUAGCUAAUAUCCCAUACCAUAUAGAUUCAUAAGAAUUUAUAUCUAAAGUUGCGUUUGCAACGCUUUUGGAUGAAGGUGUGUCUUAUCAGAUAGUUGGUGAGGUAAUGGCCCACCAAGUCGAUGACGAGUAGCUGUGCUGAGAGGCAGAACAGCCACAAUGGGACUGAGACACGGUCCAUACUCCUACGGGAGGCAGCAGUGGGGAAUUUUUCACAAUGGGCGAAAGCCUGAUGGAGCAAUCCUGCGUGAAUGAUGAAGGUCUUAUAGAUCGUAAAGUUCUUUUAUAAGGGACGAAUGGCAAGAUUAGGAAAUGAAUUUUGUUUGACUGUACCUUUUGAAUAAGUAACGGCUAACUAUGUGCCAGCAGCCGCGGUAAUACAUAGGUUACAAGCGUUAUCCGGAUUUACUGGGCGUAAAGCGAGCGCAGAUGGAUUUACAAGUCUGGUGUUAAAGACUAACGCUUAACGUUAGCAUGCAUUGGAAACUGUAAAUCUAGAGUUUGGUAGGAAGUUUUAGAACUCCAUGUGGAGCGGUGGAAUGCGCAGAUAUAUGGAAGAAUACCGGUGGUGAAAACGAAAACUUAGGCCACAACUGACAUUUAGGCUCGAAAGUGUGGGGAGCAAAUAGGAUUAGAUACCCUAGUAGUCCACACCGUAAACGAUGGUUGUUAGACGUUGGUGCUUAAGCACUAGUGUCGUAGUUAACGCGAUAAACAACCCGCCUGGGUAGUACAUUCGCAAGAAUGAAACUCAAACGGAAUUGACGGGGACCCGCACAAGUGGUGGAGCAUGUUGCUUAAUUCGACAAUACACGUAAAACCUUACCUGGGCUUGACAUCCUUAGCAAAGUCGUAGAGAUACGAUGGAGGUUAACUGAGAGACAGGUGGUGCAUGGUUGUCGUCAGCUCGUGUCGUGAGAUGUUGGGUUAAGUCCCGCAACGAGCGCAACCCCUAUGGCUAGUUAAUUCAUCUAGCAAAACUGCUAGCGCAAGCUAGAGGAAGGUGGGGACGACGUCAAAUCAUCAUGCCCCUUAUGUCCAGGGCUGCAAACGUGCUACAAUGAUAGAUACAAAGGGUUGCUAAACCGCAAGGUCAUGCUAAUCCCAAAAAGUCUACCUCAGUUCGGAUCGAAGGCUGCAAUUCGUCUUCGUGAAGUUGGAAUCACUAGUAAUCUCAAAUCAGACAUGUUGAGGUGAAUACGUACCCGGGUCUUGUACACACCGCCCGUCAA
rnacentral:rRNA from 1 species